GUGAAAAAAUGCUAACAAACCCGCAUCUUAUCACCUUUAUCUACAGAAGAGAGGAUCGAUGAAGAGGAAUCGACCAUGCGACUUACGCCAUUAUUCUAGCACACGCUUGAUAUUUAAUAUCAUUAUAGAGAUAUGUCUGGUCGGAUUUAAAAAAAAUCUUGAAAACUGGUCUCCUGGUAGCUGUUAGAUUUCAUUUUGUUUUUUUAGUUCCUGUUUAUUCUCUUUCCUGUUUCUUUUUUGGUUACUGUAGGGUUACCUUUUUCAGAUAUGAGGUCUCCAAAGUUCAUAUUCUUAAGACAUUCUUAUCGCUGGAUGUCAGUUUUCUACGUGUUCCAAGGGAAAUAUGAGACAUAUCACGUGAGGCAAUACCUAAGAAUU